AUUGAACGCUGGCGGCAGGCCUAACACAUGCAAGUCGAGCGGAUGAAGGGAGCUUGCUCCUGGAUUCAGCGGCGGACGGGUGAGUAAUGCCUAGGAAUCUGCCUGGUAGUGGGGGAUAACGUCCGGAAACGGGCGCUAAUACCGCAUACGUCCUGAGGGAGAAAGUGGGGGAUCUUCGGACCUCACGCUAUCAGAUGAGCCUAGGUCGGAUUAGCUAGUUGGUGGGGUAAAGGCCUACCAAGGCGACGAUCCGUAACUGGUCUGAGAGGAUGAUCAGUCACACUGGAACUGAGACACGUUCCCGACUCCUACGGGAGGCAGCAGUGGGGAAUAUUGGACAAUGGGCGAAGCCUGAUCCAGCCAUGCCGCGUGUGUGAAGAAGGUCUUCGGAUUGUAAAGCACUUUAAGUUGGGAGGAAGGGCAGUAAGUUAAUACCUUGCUGUUUUGACGUUACCAACAGAAUAAGCACCGGCUAACUUCGUG
rnacentral:rRNA from 1 species